CCUACGGGAGGCAGCAGUGAGGAAUAUUGGUCAAUGGCCGGAAGGCUGAACCAGCCAAGCCGCGUGAAGGACGAAGGUGCCAAGCAUUGUAAACUUCUUUUGUCAAGGGACAAAAUCAGGCUCGAGAGCCUGACCGAGGGUACUUGAAGAAAAAGCAUCGGCUAACUCCGUGCCAGCAGCCGCGGUAAUACGGAGGAUGCGAGCGUUAUCCGGAUUUAUUGGGUUUAAAGGGUGCGUAGGCGGACUGUUAAGUCAGCGGUAAAAGCCCGGGACCCAACCCCGGCGAGCCGUUGAAACUGGCGGUCUUGAGAUGUCGAGAGGUAUGCGGAAUGCGCAGUGUAGCGGUGAAAUGCUUAGAUAUUGCGCAGAACUCCGAUUGCGAAGGCAGCAUACCGGCGGCGAUCUGACGCUGAGGCACGAAAGCGUGGGUAUCGAACAGGAUUAGAUACCCCAGUAGUC
rnacentral:rRNA from 1 species